rnacentral:sRNA from 13 species
ACGGUGCCUCAAACGUUUCGACAAAGGAGGAGGAGAGCGGCUGAAGCGAGCGAUAGCACAAAAUCAGAA